AUGCUGGCCGUUCGUGGCAUUGAUAUUGGUUUAUUAUUCUCGGUGAGUUUUUACUUUAUAGUACAUACAUCGGGAUACCUACAUUGUUUUAGUACAUCAGUGUCCUUGCGCUUUGCAGAUACACACAACUAUAGUGUCGACUGUCGAGUACCAACCUAUUGUACACACAAAUCGUAAUGGUUAAUGGUUUUAUAAAAUUAGAUGGACGAGUCGUUGGUCGUCUUUGCAGUCACACAUUUUGUCACCACUGUCACCAGACUGUUACCGUCGAACAUUAAUGUAGUAAUUUUCCAUCAUCAAAAAGGAAGAAAUUUUGUAUUCCGAACAGUUGCGGAAGAGUCACUCAGCACAUCGGAAGAAUUGGCAAUAAUAAAAUGCGAAUUUCAAGGAUAAUUUUAACUCACAGGAAGGAAGCUAAAAUGAAACACAGAGAGGAAGAGCAGCGAUAUGACAUAAUUCAAAAUCGUCAAUACGUAGUAAGUAUUAGAAAAUUG